AGCCACAGGGCACCACAUUCCUAAACCCAUCAAGUCAAGAUCGUUACAACCCAUUUUGGUGAGUGACAUACUAGAAAGACACUACACCUCAUAGUUGCACAAGUGAAACCUAUUUAUCUUGGGAUCCAACAAGCUUACAAGUUACAUGGCGCAAGGAAGAGAAGAUGCUAAAGGCCGACCUAAGAAGCAGAGGCCCGGGAAGGCGAACUCAAAGUAAAGCGGUAGCGAGUGGCCUAUGCUUCUAUAAUACUUAAGCAAAGAGCAAUGAGGAAUAGAGUCUUUUAUGUCAUAAUGAAAUUAUGUUAUCCUAAUACUAAAGACACCUUUGUAACUUAGGCUAUCUUCUAUAAUGACAUAUCAGGUUGGUAUAUUAGGGCAUUA